rnacentral:rRNA from 1 species
CCUACGUGAGGCUGCAGUGGGGGAUAUUGCACAAUGGGGGAAACCCUGAUGUAGCGACGCCGCGUGUGGGAAGACGGUCCUCUGGAUUGUAAACCACUGUCCCCAGGGACGAAGAUGACGGUACCUGGGGAGGAAGCUCCGGCUAACUACGUGCCAGCAGCCGCGGUAAUACGUAGGGAGCGAGCGUUGUCCGGAAUUACUGGGUGGAAAGGGAGUGUAGGCGGGGAUGCAAGUUGGGGGUCAAAACUACCGGCUCAACUGGUAGUCGCACUCACAACUGCCGCUCGUGAGUGAAGUAGCGGCAGGCUGAAUUCCUCGUGUAGCGGUUAAAUGCGUAGCUAUUAGGAGGCACUCCAGUGGCGAAGGCGGCCUGCUGGGCUUUUACUGACGCUGAGGCUCGAAAGUGUGGGCAGCAAACAGGAUUAGAUACCCCAGUAGUC